CUUGAACGCUGGCGGCAUGCUUUACACAUGCAAGUCGAACGGCAGCACGGGGGCAACCCUGGUGGCGAGUGGCGAACGGGUGAGUAAUGCAUCGGAACGUGCCCUGUCGUGGGGGAUAACACAUCGAAAGAUGUGCUAAUACCGCAUACGACCUGAGGGUGAAAGCGGGGGACCGUAAGGCCUCGCGCGAUAGGAGCGGCCGAUGUCUGAUUAGCUAGUUGGUGGGGUAAAGGCCUACCAAGGCGACGAUCAGUAGCUGGUCUGAGAGGACGACCAGCCACACUGGGACUGAGACACGGCCCAGACUCCUACGGGAGGCAGCAGUGGGGAAUUUUGGACAAUGGGGGCAACCCUGAUCCAGCCAUGCCGCGUGCGGGAAGAAGGCCUUCGGGUUGUAAACCGCUUUUGGCAGGAACGAAACGGUGCGGGCGAAUACCCUGUGCUAAUGACGGUACCUGCAGAAUAAGCACCGGCUAACUACGUGCCAGCAGCCGCGGUAACAC
rnacentral:rRNA from 1 species